AUUCUGGAAACCCUCUCCUACCUACUGCCACCUCCUCCCAACUUAGCUAGCAACCUUCUCCCCGGGGGCUCUUCUGGGCUUUGACACUUGGCCAGGUUUACCUCUCUCAUCCCGAGUGCCAAAAUAGAUGGUAGGGGGAACGUUGGGAAAGAGACUGUAGAUGAGGGCUGGUCGGACAACUUUCUCAUGAUUGGAAAGGGGUUUGGUCAGAAUUUCCAUACAGCUUCUAAGACGAAAAACAAACAUGGAGUAGAGAAAGGGAAAAAGCAACAGCCCUGAAGCGUCGUUACUACGACGUACGAUUUAUUUCCAAGUGCUGUCUUUUAACUUGUGAUUCUAAAAAGCCAGGUGCUCAAUAAUUAAUAAUUAUUUUGUACAUAUUAAUCCAUAAGGUACUAGGCUAACCUACAUACAACCACACCAUUAAAUGUCACCUAAAGACAAGGUUUUCCAACACUUCAUUCUGCAAUACAGCUCCAAAAUUUCCCGUGACAAGACAUUGGCUGGGAAAGUCCCUGACAGGAGUAGUUCUGAGAGGGGAAAUGAAUGUGGGUGGAUACCAGUAGCAGAACGUGCUAUGCUAAGACAAAGAAAUAAAUGAGAGAAAAGAAUGAUGUAAAAAUUACGAAGGAGGAAAACCAAACAAGAUCUGAGGUGUAGAGACUUUUAAAUAAAAAAAGGGGAAAAAGCAAUAGAAAGAAAAGAAACAGUGAUACUUCCAGUUCAUUUUAUAUUUAGGUUCAUCUAAAGAUUCAUGAACCAUUAGUGCUUUUCUCCAUUUUGGAAGUGAUUUGUGACACUGUAAUUUUAUGUAACAGUAUGGGAACACAGAUAUGGAUGUGAUGAAGAGAUGUGGCUGAUGUGGGACAGUGGGCCAUGGGGGUCCCUACUGUUAAUCCAACAAGGGCUUGGCCAAGGCUGUCUCAAGGGGUGUCAACAUAGCAAACAUAUCAACUACCUGUCAGGUACAAGCUGAGAGACCAAGAUCAUUCCUUUAACUAGCACUGAAAAAUGGAGAAAAUAGCUAUUACUCUUUACAACUUAGAUAAUAUAAUCCACGAAUAUUAUUAUAACAUUAAUUUUUAGUUUAAAAAAGUCACUUUACCUGUUAUUAUUUUCAGCACAACAGAAAUAGGCACUGUAUGUGAAACACUUCAGUGUUUUAACUCUUAAAGAUUUUUAAUGAAUUUUAUGGAAUCAAGUUAAAUACUAAUUCCCAAUGAAAAAUUCUAAUUAAUUCAACUCUAUUCCUCAUUUUCAAACUUUUUCUUCAAAGGCUUUUGGUUUACUGAGUAUGAGAAUUUAAGAUUGUUGAAAGUCAAUAAGAAUGAGUUAAAAUUUAAAAACAAAGAUAGAGGCCGGGUGCAGUGGCUCAUGCCUGUAAUCCCAGCACUUUGGGAGGCUGAGGCAGGCGGAUCACCCGAGGUUGGGAGUUGGAGACCAGCCUGACCAACAUGGGGAAACCCCGUCUCUACUAAAAAUACAAAAUUAGCCAGGCAUGGUGGCGCAUGCCUGUAGUCCCAGCUACUCGGGAGGCUGAGUCAGGAGAAUUGCUUGAACCCAGGAGGCAGAAGUUGCAAUGAGCCAAGAUCACGCCAUUGCACUCCGGCCUGGGUAACAAGAGCAAAACUCCAUCUCAAAAAAACAAAAACAAAACAAAACAAAAAAGAUAGAAACGUAAAAUGGUACAGCCACUCUGGAAAACAAUUUUGGCAGUUUCUUAAAAAAACUAAACAU
rnacentral:lncRNA from 10 species